AGACCUGGCAAUUCAGGCCCGAAACCAUAUAACCGGUCCAAACCAAACCAUUUAUUAAAAUCUGGCCCAACAAAAAAUCACUUAUUCUAUAUGGAUCUGGUUGGUUUUUAAAUCACAGUUUUUAUCUAAAAUAUGGACUAAGAUAUGGACCAAAUAUGGAUACCCAUAUUUCAACCUAGUCAGACUGAAUAUUCACGCUCCACUGUUUACAAACUCUCGGCGCGCACUGAACUCUCAUCCCCCUUCCCCAAAUUGCAAUUAACACCUACUUUUAUCGCUCUUGCUUUAUUUCGAAAGCUUCUUCUGUUCAGGUAAUUAUCUUUAAUUCAUCUUCGUUUACUUUUUUUUGUUUGUGUGUUUGAAUUUCAUCUGGAUCCUUGUAUACAUGUGUUGUGUAAUCAUGGCCGUGUAUAUACAUAUGUUUUGAAAUCAUCAUAUAUCGUCUCUUUCAUUCUUAAACUGACUUGUUUUGUGCUGAAUUUGUUAGUUGGGCCACUCAGAUUUUCUUAUUUUGUGUAAUUUAUUUAGUGCUCACUUUUUUUAUGUUGUCGAUUCUAGGGGCUGUUUUCACUUGGGUAUUUGAUGAAUUUGUUUAAUUGUAUUCUUUUAUGUGUUUAUGUAUUUUUCUUAUUUGGGUAGUCUAAUUCUAAUGUGUUUAUCUAUAUUUUCGUGUUUUUGUUGGUUUAAUGUAGAUUUAGAGUCAUAAUGGAAGAAGAACAAAGUUCGACCUCUAGUAGACCUAUAAAAAGAUUUAAGAAAUCUACAUCAAUAAUUUGGGAAUUAUUUGAUAAGUUUGUGGAGAAUGGAAUACAAAAGUCUAGAUGUAAAAAAUGUGAUCAAGUUUAUAUAAGUGAACAUGGUACCUCAAAUAUGCGAAAGCAUAUGAUGUCAAAGCAUGGAGAAGUUAUACCCGGUGAUGAACUUGAAAUUGUUCCAUUUGAGCAAAGUGUUUACCGGAAUCUAAUGGGAAAAUCAAUAGUACAACAUAACUUGCCUUUUAGUUUUGUUGAAUAUGAUGGAAUUCGAGAAAUGCAUAGGUAUUUAAAUCACAAAGUACAAGAUGUUUCAAGAAACACUAUAAAAGCUGAUAUCUUGGAUAUUUAUGGGAUAGAAAAGAGAAAAGUGAAACAAGAGUUAGAGUCUUUAUCUGGGAGAAUUUGUCUUACAUCUGAUUUGUGGUCUUCAUCAACUAUGGAUGGGUACUUAUCUCUUACUGCACAUUAUGUGGAUGAAAAUUGGAAUUUGCAGUCAAGAAUCUUAAAUUUAAGAUUUAUGCCUCCACCACAUACAGGACAACUACUAGCAGAAAAAUUUAUUGGUUUACUUAAAGAGUGGGGAAUUGAGAUAAAAGUGUUUUCAUUAACUGUUGACAAUGCUUCUGCAAAUAAUUCUUUCGUAGAAAUUUUGAAAAGUCACUUGAAUAUGAAUGGUGUCUUGCUUUGUGAUGGAGAUUAUUUUCAUGUGCGUUGUGGUGCACACAUCUUGAAUUUGAUUGUUCAAAGUGGCCUUAAAGUGGUAGAUAAUUGUGUAAGUAAAGUUAGAGAAAUGGUAAGAUAUGUUAGAGGAGCAAAAGCAAGGAUGAUAAAAUUGGCAGAGUUUGUUAGUCAACUUUCAAUUAAUUGCAAGAAGAAGCUUUCUCAAGAUGUUUCAACAAGAUGGAAUUCUACUUAUGUCAUGCUUGAAAGUGCUUUGCAAUACAAGGUUGCUUUAUCUCAGUAUGGAUUAGUAGACAAAAAUGUGGGUUCUUUAACAGAUGAAGAAUGGGCCAAAAUUUAUAAAAUUUGCCAAUUUUUAAAGCCUUUCUAUGAUAUCACAGUUCUAUUCUCGGGAAGUCAAUAUCCUACUUCUAAUCUUUAUUUUCAUGGGGUGUACAAGAUACAGUCACUUAUUAGCAUGGAAUUGCAAGAUGAGAGUAGUAUUUUAUAUGAAACGGCGUUUGAAAUGAAUGAAAAGUUUAAGAAGUAUUGGGAGAAUUAUAGCUUGAUUUUGUCAUUUGCUGUAAUAUUGGAUCCUCGCUACAAGUUAAAGUUCGUGGAGUAUGUCUUUCGAAAGAUCUAUCCCACAAAUUAUUCUGAAAAAGUUAGACAUAUCUAUAAGAAGAUGGAAGAGCUUUACUUGGAUUAUUGUCGAAUAUCAAGUAUUUCUUCUACAUCCGUCACUUCUUGUCCAAGAGUCAUUAAUGAAGAUCAUGAUGAAGCAAUGGAUGAUAUAGAUGUAAGCAUUGUCCUUUGAUCUUAGUGUUCAUUUUAUACACUUGUAUAUGUACUUUUAUUUUGUGCUAACUUUGUUUUAAUUUUGUAGGAGUUUGAAUCAAUUUUUUGUCAAAAUGAUUCGCAAAAUGAAACUAAAUCUCAACUUGAUUUGUAUUUGGAAGAAAGUAAGAUGGAUGCUAGAGUGAAACUUGAUGUGCUUUCUUUUUGGAGAUCAAAUAAGAGCAAAUACUCCAUUUUAUCUAUUAUGGCACGGGAUAUUUUGAGCAUGCCGAUAACUACCGUUGCUUCCGAGUCUUCUUUUAGUAUCGGAAGUCAAAUUAUUAGCAAGUAUCGUGGUUCCAUUACACCGGAUAAUGCAGAGGCUUUGUUAUGCACCCGUGGUUGGUUGUAUGGGUAUAAAGGUAAAGUUAUUAGAGGCAUUUGGAUUGAAACAUUAUUUAGUUUAUACCACACACUAUUUAUGUUUUAAUGUAAUUAUUGUAGUUUUUGGUGAUGAAGAAAGUGAUUCAGAAGAUUCUAUUGGUGAUGUUGAGAAGCUUGUGCUUCGUUUGCAAACUCCAGACUAGGUGGUUACAUUUUCCAGGUACUAUAAAUCUGUGGCAUAGAUAUUAAACCUUGGAAACAUUAAAAGCUCGACGCUUUUAGGAUUCUGCAUAGAUAUUGUAGUCUCAAACUUCCAGAUAGGGGUUUAGAAUCUGCACAAGUAAAUGCAUUCUGCAUUAUUUUCUGCAUUCUGCAUAAAAACUGCAUUGUUUUUCUGCUCUGUUUUUCUGCAUUCUGCUCUGUUUUUCUGCAUUCUGCAUUGUUUUUCUGCAUUCUGCAUAACAAUGUAAUUUGUUAGCACCCUUAUAUAUAUGUUCGAUAUAGUAACACCACCACUGUUGCAGAGUAAAGCGAGUAGAAGAGGAAGGCAAGGAUUCUGAGUCCACAUUUCGGUGUGCAAAAAGUUGUGACACGAGAAGAAGCAGAGAAGCCAUGACAAGUUUGCAGUAAAACUACUUAUAUCAGGGUGAAGCCAAUGUGAAAUUGUGAAUAUGUAUGAGGUCUUUUGUGUGUGAUAAAUGUGUUGGUAUAUAUAGGGAGUUAUUGUGGGAGGAUUUACUUCAAUUGCUUACUGGUAAGAGGGUGUUUGCUGAUUGCAUAUACGAGGAAGUGUAAGCUAGGGGUUGAAAAAACAGGGGGAGACAGGGGCCAUUUGGCUGAUGGUUUUGAAUUGCUGUUAUUAAUGUUACUGAUAGACUGGUAGUAGUAUUAAUUUUGUUGGGAGUCAUUGACAUUUUAAAUUUUAGAAUGCUCAAUCAUAAAUCUGGAGAUGGAGAUUGUUGUGGCUAUUCUAUUGAAAGGAGAGUCAAAAUCAAGGAGCAUCGCAAGUUCGCAACCAAACAUCUUAGAAACCCCGCACCACCACUGAGAGGAACACAUGCAAUUAAUAUAAAUUUUUAAAAUUUUGAUAAAAAUAUGGAUAUCCAUAUUUUAAUCCAUAACCAUAUAAAACCAAACCAAAUUAUAACCAUAUUUGAUAUAAUAUGGUUCACAUAUUGUUUUGGUUCAUAAACCAGUCCAAAUCCAUAUUAAUGAACCAAAAUUGGUCCAAAACCUUAUUCUGCCAGGUCUA
rnacentral:lncRNA from 1 species